UGUUUUUAAUAGUAUACGAACAUAAAAAAGCCUCCAAACCUCCAAAGAAACCAGCAAGAUUCUUUAAAAAAAAUCACAAGAGAGAAACUCUGCAGGUUUUGAAAAUCGCUGUGAGCAGAGUCACUGAGCUGCUCAGGUUCCUUUCCUCCUUCAACAAAAAAUCCAGUUAGGUGGCAGCCAGGUUGGAGAGGUAGUGGGAGAAGAAAUGUAUUGCCACUGAAGAAAAUUGUCUAGCUUUCUAUAAAUCACAUAUAUGACAGAUCAGAAGGUAAUGAUUUUUACACUCAAAUUGUCUGUUAUAGUGUAUCUCUUGAUUCUCCUCCAAUCUAUUCAAUCCAAAACCAAAUUCAAUUAAGAUAUUGUAUGAAAGUAUGGUUUAUUUUAUUCUCUUCUAAAUUGGAAGAAUUUUUUUGUUUUUGGGUGAGUUCAAAUCAAAGAAAGUUUUUUGUCUAUCUUAUUUUCUUUUUAUUAAUUUUUCUUUUCUAUGAAUAAUAUUAGUAAGACCGCUUUGGUAAGCAAAUUUCGAUUAUAUAGGCAUGGUUGCUUACAAGACAAAAGAUAUGUUCUUUGCUUUAUGAUUUCUAGGCUUUUAGAUUAGAAAUGUUAGCUUCUAGCACCAUGACAUAUGGUCAAGUACAAGAUUGGGGUAAUGACACUUUAUAAAAUCUGGGUUUGUAAUAAGUAACUUUUUCUUCGUUCUAUAUCAUAGCACUAUGGAUUCAAAUUGCAUUGGGUGUUGUUUAUGGUGUUGUACUCUCCAUGGAUAUUUUGGAGGCGUUGCGUGAUUUAUUGCAUCUAGGUUGCCCUUGCUCAUGGAGAUCUUUGUGAUGGUAAGCUAUUAAUCUCUGAGAUCUGUUUCUUUUUGUUUAUUUCACAUGUGUGGCUAUUUAUUGAAAUUUGAUAUGCCAAGGACUGGAGUUGGUCACGGUUUUUAGGUUAAAAUUGAAUCAUCCAUGAUUUUGAAAAUAUUGAAUUCUGAUCAAACCUAUAAGGAUGGAUGCAUAGGUUAUACAUGCAGAUUGUCACAUUAUUGUAGUUCUCAAUUGAUUUAUGGAAGGUAGUCUUAACUCUUCGUCUAUGUACCAAUUUUCUUAUGUUAGUGCUCAAGCAGAAAUUAUAGAGGUCCUUAUUCAUUGGAGAUUUGAAGAGUAAAACUUAGCAGUGCGGUACCACUGGAAGUGGUAAUUACUAAUCAGGGAUAGAGUGAGUGAAUCACAGUUCGACCAAGUCUUGAAUGAUGAAUUGAGGCAGAUCAUUGAGGUCUCUCUGUCAAGUUAAAUUUUCAUUCUACUUUUUAUUUGUAAUGCUCAUUUCUUCACUCAUGAAUUUGCAUAAGAUUAAAUAAAUUUUCAAUCCCACAACAACGCGCGGGCACUGUUGCUAGUGCUAACUAUAAAACCAUCUCCAGUUUACUCUCUAUAGGCUCUCCGCCACUUUAUAUUUUUUGCACAAUAUUUUAUCAUGUUGACACGAGAAUGGUGCCAAAAACAUAAGGUAGCAGAGAGUUCAUGGAGAGUCUCAUUUUUUAGAGAAUCUCCUUAGCAUUUUCCUCCCUAAUUGGAGGUCGCCUAUUUGAUCUAGUAAGGGGAGGUAAAGGUCACAAAGAAACGUUCUUGGAAUCUCAUUUUGUUGCUUUAGCAUUCGCAUCCCACUCGCAAGAGAAAUGAAGAAUUCAUAAUUGCACUGCUAUUGUUUGUAACAAGUGUGUGAGUGACCCCUGCAAGUGUACUGAGAAGUGAUGCAUUCAUUCUCUCAUUUGGAGUUGGAGAGCAUUCGAAGCAUCAGAUAUUUAAUCUAAUAUCUUAUUUUCCUUAUUUUUAUUUUUGGGAAAAUUACAUAAAACUACCUCAAUUAUUGGGUCAUUAACAGUUUCAUACCUUGUCUUUAAAAAGUUUCAAUGUUAUACCUUAUCUUUGAAUUUGUUGCAAUGUCAUACCUUCCGUCAGUUGUCUGUCAAUUCUUCUAUUAAAUGCUGACGUGGCUUGAGAAGCGGAAUCAAGUGUGGGGCUUUGGCCUUGGAGUUUGUUGGGCAGAUGUACCAGGAAUUAUUACUGAGCACCGAGGUAUUUCUAGGGAAGUGAAGUAUCUUCGGGAAGCUUAUGAAGCUCAGAAACAAGGCAAUGCUACUGCGAAAGAAAAAAUGACUCGUAUGAUGCAUGAGGCAAAUAAGAAAGCGGAAAAGAUGAAAAAAGAGCAAGAAUAAAGCAUACAAAGGCUUAGGGCAGAACAAGAGGAAAGUUUGAGGUUAGCAAAGGUGCAAAUGGUUGAGCAAUUGAAAGCCAUGUUGGCAUAUGUGGGCAUCAACAUUGGUUCAUUUGGAGUGGGUGCUUUACAAAGUACUUCAACUCAGCAGCAAGGGUGUGGAAGCUCACACGUUCAGAUUUCAACGCUUUUUAAAGGUGGAAAUGACAAGAAUAUGCAGUGUGGACCUCCAGUUUCUAAUGCUAUGAUGCAUGAGGACUGCCAAAGUGAGAAUAUUGGUUAGUUGUCAUCAAGCAGCCCUUGUAGAUGUGUAUUUUGUUUAUAUAUUGCUGGUUUAACCAUUAUAACGUUUGAAUUGGGAUACAAGGUUGGAUAUGUUAUAUUUUGUUGUAUAUAGAGAAUCCCUGGUAUAUCCAGCAUAGGAUAACAUGUAUUUUUUGUUUAACAUUUGGAUGGGUUGUAUUGUUAGGUUGCAUGAAUCGGUCAUAGCCAAGAACAUGGGUUAUGUAAUAUAUUAGCUUCACUAUUUUAGUGCUAAUGUUGAUUUAUGUUUAUUAUGUAAUGGAUGAUUUGUAAGUUCCUAAAA